rnacentral:tRNA from 1 species
GAGGGUAUAGCUCAAGUGGUAGAGCGCAUGUUUAGCAUGCAGGAGUUCCUGGGUUCAAUUCGCAAUACCUUUA